rnacentral:rRNA from 1 species
CCUACGGGGGGCAGCAGUGAGGAAUUUUCGUCAAUGGGGGCAACCCUGAACGAGCAACGCCGCGUGUAGGAAGACACUUUUCGGAGCGUAAACUACUUUUCUCGGGGACGAGUAAGGACGGUACCCGAGGAAUCAGCCCCGGCUAACUACGUGCCAGCAGCCGCGGUAAUACGUAGGGGGCGAGCGUUGUCCGGAGUUACUGGGCGUAAAGCGCACGCAGGCGGUCCGGUAAGUUUGGAGUGACAAUUCUCGGCUUAACUGAGAAGGGUCUUUGAAGACUGCCGGACUUGAGGGCUCACGAGGGACACGGAAUUCCGGGUGGAGUGGUGAAAUGCGUAGAUAUCCGGAGGAACACCAAAGGCGAAGGCAGUGUCCUGGGGAGUACCUGACGCUCAGGUGCGAAAGCCAGGGGAGCAAACGGGAUUAGAUACCCCGGUAGUC